rnacentral:rRNA from 1 species
CAGCAGCCGCGGGAAUACGUAGGUGGCAAGCGUUGUCCGGAAUUAUUGGGCGUAAAGGGCUCGCAGGCGGUCUCUUAAGUCUGAUGUGAAAGCCCCCGGCUCAACCGGGGAGGGUCAUUGGAAACUGGGAAACUUGAGUGCAGAAGAGGAGAGUGGAAUUCCACGUGUAGCGGUGAAAUGCGUAGAGAUGUGGAGGAACACCAGUGGCGAAGGCGGCUCACUGGACCGACACUGACGCUGAGGCGCGAAAGCGUGGGGAGCAAACAGGAUUAGAUACCCGUGUAGUCCCUGUCUCUUAUAC